rnacentral:rRNA from 1 species
GCAGCCGCGGUAAUUCCAGCUCCAAUAGCGUAUAUUAAAGUUGUUGCAGUUAAAAAGCUCGUAGUUGAAUUUCGGGAUCAAUAUGUUGGUCGUGCCUUGGUACGUACUAAUUUAUUGAUUUCUUCCUUCUGACGAACCAUGAUGUCAUUAAUUUGGUGUCUUGGGGAAUCAGGACUGUUACUUUGAAAAAAUUAGAGUGUUUAAAGCAGGCUCACGCUUGAAUACAUUAGCAUGGAAUAAUGAAAUAGGACGUUUGAUUCUAUUUUGUUGGUUUCUAGGAUCGACGUAAUGAUUAAUAGGGAUAGUUGGG